AGUAAAUAGAUACCCUGGUAGUCCACGCCGUAAACGAUGUCGACUUGGAGGUUGUGCCCUUGAGGCGUGGCUUCCGGAGCUAAACGCGUUAAGUCGACCGCCUGGGGAGUACGGCCGCAAGGUUAAAACUCAAAUGAAUUGACGGGGGCCCGCACAAGCGGUGGAGCAUGUGGUUUAAUUCGAUGCAACGCGAAGAACCUUACCUACUCUUGACAUCCAGAGAACUUAGCAGAGAUGCUUUGGUGCCUUCGGGAACUCUGAGACAGGUGCUGCAUGGCUGUCGUCAGCUCGUGUUGUGAAAUGUUGGGUUAAGUCCCGCAACGAGCGCAACCCUUAUCCUUUGUUGCCAGCGGUUCGGCCGGGAACUCAAAGGAGACUGCCAGUGAUAAACUGGAGGAAGGUGGGGAUGACGUCAAGUCAUCAUGGCCCUUACGAGUAGGGCUACACACGUGCUACAAUGGCGCAUACAAAGAGAAGCGACCUCGCGAGAGCGAGCGGACCUCAUAAAGUGCGUCGUAGUCCGGAUUGGAGU
rnacentral:rRNA from 1 species